AUCCAGCCGGUGAGUCCCAACUAGGACGAAACGCUUGUCCUAGAU
rfam:Schistosoma margrebowiei strain Zambia genome assembly, scaffold: SMRZ_contig0006313